UGUUUCAAUAUCCUAAAAAGAAAUAACAAUGCUGCCAUCUCAGAAAUAAAAAGACAAAAUAUUCUGGGAAAUGUUUGAUCCUCUGCAGGUUGGAAUGGAUGAGGCUGCUGGAAAACAACACAUUGCUCUAAAACAUAUCUAAGAAAUCUAAAUCUUAGAAAUAUCUAAGUGUGUUUUGUUCACAUGUGAUGGCCCCUCAUUAUUUAAUAAUGGAGCCCUUCCACAGCAGCUUCAUCUGUGGAGCUCCAGCCACUUUCUGCAGAGGCCUCAAUGAACUCUCACGAGUGCCUUUGUGAGGUGGGUAUGGAAAUGUUCCUGAUCCACACAGGAAGAGAAUCACAUCCCUCAUUUUUGCCAUUUUUAACCUCUUCUCCUCACUUUGAUUUCCCUGAUAACAUAGAGGAAGAUUAUUAAUUUUCAACCCAGUUAUUGAAAAUAUUUAUCAAGCACAGGAGUAUCAAAUAUAAUCUGAUUUAAUGGGUUCUUUUAGGGUUUUUUUAAUCUAUUUUUUCCUCCUGGACAGAGGUGGGGAGACUGCCUUUCCAUGCUGAGGGUUUGCUUUGCAGAAGGCCAGGGAUAUGUUAUUUUUGUGGGGUGAGGAAGCACUGAGCACCUCUGAAAACCAACCCACACCUAAAAGCACUGAUUAGAAAGUUUGGCUUAAGCAUUUUGCCUGAGAUGGCAGGGCUGAUAAUUGGAUUUCAGCUCGCUGAGCCCCAGUCCAUUACUGCAGCUAUAAAUCACCAUGCUGCAAUCACUCCUCUAAUGCACCAUUUUCAAAUAUUUCCUUUUCAGCCUUUUCCAUCUGUGCCUGAGAAGACACCUCCAGUAUAGGUAAUGGAGCAGUGGGGGGAUAAAGCUGUGCCCUCAGCAGCUCUGAGUGCACUGGAAGUUGUUGACUCCCACCCUUGAAGCAGUUUUUGGGUGUUUGGAGCUGAGUGUGCUGCAUUUGGCAGCUUGCACAGCUUUUAGGAAAGAUUUUCCUCUGUUAACUCACGUUAGUCAGAAGAAAAGUCACACAGAAAAAAUAGCACUGGCAGAUCUUGGCUUAAUCAGGACUUCUUGAGAUGCUCAGGUUGUUUCGACCUCAAGAUUCAAAAGCUGCAGAAGUCGUGCUUCCUAAUUUAUUUAUUUUUUAAAAUAGAUCAUUAGAAACCCCCUCACUCUGCACUUAUUUUCCUCUAUCAUUAAAUUCUGCCUCACAGCCAGCCGGGCCUCAUUGUAGAUAAAUAGAGAAUGAGGUGGGGCUGGGAACAUCAGGAUCAGGGAAUUCCCUGGGUUAAAUACAGGUUUGCCAUGGGGAGCACUGGCUCUUCUGGGGUCCCUGCACUUCACAGCUCCCUCUCCACCACUGACUGCAGAAUUACCUUCAUGGGCUUUUAUAUUUUGUGUAAAUCUUGCCAGGAGGCCCAGGAAAGCCCAGCCCAGAGGGGUUUGGAAGCUGGGCAAUUCCAUGAGGGAAUUUCUGAUUUUGAUAGCAGCCUGCCCCUAUUUUUACAUCACGUGGGCCAGAAUAUCCUUCCAUAUCCUUUCCUUUCAGCUUUUCCCUGCUUGCUGCUAAAACAGAAGACAAAGGUAACAGCCCUCUGAUGACUCCCCUCCCCUCACAAUUAGCAAUAUCUAAGCAAUUAAUCCCUGAAAUCCUCAGCAUUGGUGGUGCCUCCAUGUUUCUUCCAUAAACCCAAACAUUUUUGCUACUAGAGGGGAUGCAAAAAUAUAGAUGUUUCAAAGAAUGAGCACUUCAACCUGCUCUUUUCAAUUUUUAAAUGAAUUUAUUUCUGAAUUUUGGCUUUUCUCUCUAUCUACUGCCUUCAGAGCCGUGCCUUGUUCCUAAGAGCUGGACUGUGGUGGAGUCAAAACCCACACAUGCACUGGAAGGAAUUCUUUCCUAAGCUGACCCUAAUGUCAUUGUCAGAAUUGCACCAGGCAUCACUUUGACCCAGGGACAGUGAGAUCAGAUGUUAAAACACUGAACCAAGAGCUCAGCAGCAGGAGGUCUCGUUCCUGCUGGGAUCAGUCCAGCCAGCCCUCCUAGACAUUUUUUAUCCAUAUCAAGAGGAAGUUUGGAACUAGAUUUAAUCUGUUUCCCAGAAGCUGCUGAUGCUUUCAUGUGAAAUGAAGAGUUUGCUGUCAAGAAAGGAACAAAUUUCUGCAGCCAUCGGGGCCCUUUCCCUGCUUUGUGUCCCGAGGAACUGGAGCAGUUUGGUGUAGGAUGGCCAGAAUGGUUAAUGCCCUCCUUCAAAAUACACAUCUCGAAUUCCCUUCCCACCUAAACACGCCCUCAGCCCCUGCCCCGCUUAGGAACACAAGAAAAGGAGAAUUAGGCCACACCUGAGCACUCAGUGCUCCUAAAGUGACCCAGCUGAGUAAACCAAAGGGAUUGCAACAAGCCUUUCAUCUCCUAAUGGGAUCCCUUUGUGUUGAUUUUAGCACUUUCUCCUCUUGGCCGAAUUAAAGAAUCCACUGCACUAACACGAGCCUUUUGUUGUUGUGCCACGUUACUCAUGAAUUAUUCCAGUUUCAGGGUUAUUUUUGCUUUGGCUCGGAGCCUUAUCCUAAAAAUAUUUGUCAAACAAAAGACAGGAGCAUCGAUUUUUUCCACUUCCUGUAUGUCUGUCUGUCUGGAGCUGCGGGUCCAGCAGCUUCCAGCUCGGAGGAUCCACCUGAUAAUUUAUGAGGAUGGGAUGGUGUGAAUCAAGAACUUGGCAUCCAGAGACUUGCAUGUGUUCUAGUCCUGCUCCUCAUAAAUUGUCAUUGCUGAGCCAUCCCUACGGACUGUGGGAACACCAAAAUCCGUGUCCUGAGUCUCUGUAAACUGCGGGCAAAAUUUGGGCUUGGUUUAUCCUGCCAGCCUCUCUCAGAAGACUCAGCAGAGGAUGUCAAGAAUUUGGUCUCACCUUUGAUGAAUAAAAUCCUGUGACAUUCAGAUCUCCACUUAAAAAGAGCAGGACACAGAGGUAACAUCAGAACCAUGUGAGAAGGGAAAUUCCCCUGCCCCCUCAGUAAAAAACAGAUCAGGCCAUCUAAUAUUGCACAAACUGACACCUCUUUCCUAAAAAUAGCUGUCUGCACAUUCAGUCAAUGGGCUAAUCCAAUUGCCUGAACAUUCUUGGGUGCUUUAUCAUUUAAAUUGUAAUAAAUCACAGCGUGCCACGAGCUGGAUGGAGCUGCAUCGAGUUACACUGCACCAAGAACAUGCGGGGACCAGAUGAAAUCGGGGUGACAUGAUGUCAUUGAGCUGAAAAUUCAAUGCAUGCCCUGUUUUGUCUUUCAAAGUUGGCUCGAAGGUCUCUUUAAAAUGAGGGGGAUUUUCCAAAAAUCGCUGCUCCUGUCACAUUUUGAUUCACUAUUUCUUCCCUUCAUUUAUUUUAAAUAAUGAGCAUAUGGGGCCUGCCUGUAAAUCCAUGGAACUCUAUUGAAAAAUUACUGUUGAUUCCAGACUUUGGACCUGCCUGAUCAGGAAUUUUGCAGUAAAACACGGAAGAAAAAUAUUUUAGGACAGCUGAACUAACACACUAAUGCUCCCAUGAGCUCCUCAGGAAUAUGUUUCCACAAACUAAUACCCACCAUUGUUCAGAAAAAUUUGGUUAGAUUUAGUUUCUCCUGGUUUCUUUCUAAAGAAAAAAUAAUGGGACAAACCAACUUUAACUCUCCUAAGCAUCCCCUUGUUCCUCAGAGCCACAUUCCCCUCGACCACCUUAAUGAAUUCCCUCCUCUCCUUGGUUUUCUACACGUUUCAGAUAUUUAUACAAGAUGUAUGAACAUAAAAGGAUUAUUCAUAACAUUAUUGUUUCUGAAACAGGGGACUAAAGCUAAACAUCAUCUGGUUCAAUCCCCAGCAGAUAUAAAUAUUCCUGCUCUCCUGGAAGUUGCUGGAUGCUGUGCUCCCAGUCAGGAAUUGCUUUCUGCAGGGAUGGGAGGAGGGAGAGCACCGGGGAAAACUGGUGGGAACAAAAUCAGGUUGCCUGUGGAUGGGAAUUCAUCCCAGAGCUUGGCUCUGCUGCCAGAGGGGAAGGUGUGAGGAGGUUGUGGCUCUGCUCACAGGUAAAGGAGGGGUGGAAAUGCAGCAGCACAGAAAUGAGCCUGACCCAGUUCCCUGGGUGAGAACCCAGAGCCCAGGAAUUGCAAAUUAUGUGUUUAGCCCCUUCAGAGCCAGGCACAUCUCCUGCUCUCCACUGCUGUGCACUUCAGCCCUGUCCAGUUCUGCCACAUUUAUUGCAAUGACCAAAGGGGAGCCCCUGGGGUUGGUGCAGGCUGGUGAUGGGCAGAGCUGGGCUGGAGGGAUGGGGAAUUUCACACCUGACUCCUUGUCCCCAGUGUGAAAGGGAGAUGGAGGGAGGGAGUGACCUGGUGAGAAAGAUGAUGAGGAUGGAAUGGGAAACUGAAGGAGAAAAAUGUGGGGAAGGGGGGAAAUAAACCAGCAAGGCUGUCUCCCAUUACAAACCCUGUGAAAGGGAAGGUGCUGGCCAGCACCAGCCACUGGGAGCAGGUCACUGUCCCAGUGCAGGGACACUCCAGUGUCCCUGGGCAUGGAACAGGUCACUGCAGGGCAAAUCCAAAUCCCUCACCUGCAGCUGCCCAGGGUGCAGCCCUGCCUCCCCUUGGGAGCUCAGCAAGCUCCACUGUGCCUUAAACCAUCCUUUUUAACCCCAAAUUGAGACGUGGUAGUGCAGGCAGCAGUGCUGGCACAUUUAGUGGCAGAUGCCACCCCUAUCCCCCCUCCACUGGAAGCUGCAAUGAGCAGCAGCUGCUGAAAAUAGCCUUGGAGAGAAGCUCUGCAGCAGUCAGAGCACACGAGAAGAGCUCAAUGUUCCACCCUUCUUUCCUCACAUACUUUAGAAAAGUUAAUUAAAGGAGGCUGGGAUCUGGAAAGUGAGAAGCACCAUUGCCAAAGCAGCUCCUCCGAGUUCCUUUUAUUGCUCCUCUGACCUGAGCACGAGCACAGACCUCAUUCCUGCUCCUUCCAUGCCAUGUAUCCACAAACUUAAUGCUUACAGUGUGGGAAGCAGCAAGAGAUUAUUGGAUGCUCAGAUAAGAUGGAUCUAAUGGCUGAGUUGCAGUUUAUAGGGUAAGUACAAUCGCUAUUUAAACCCCCCUCUUUUGCAGGCACAGGGAAAUUGAAUUAUUUACCCCAAAUUUCACAUGAAGUCAUUCAGAGAGGGAGGGAAUUGGCCAAGGUAAUAACAUGUGCAGAGUUCCUGUGAGAAAGAGAAUAUGGAAUUGAGACCAGUGCACCUUCUUUUCCUGCACCAGAUGAGUGGCCAUGGCUGUCACCUUGUUGUGGAAGAGAUUUUCCCUCUCCCAUCCUGUGAAGUCCCAGCCAGUUAUGAUGUACUGAGGCAGCAGAGACAAAAUCUUUAACAAAUGGGGCCAGGAAGGAAACAGCUUUAAUUCCUUGGCCAGAAAGCCUCUCUGAUGAGCAGUGGUUUACAUGACUACACACAGACAAGAACCCUCUGGGCUUUUUUGAAAGUCUUGUGGUCUUCAUAUUUAUAGGAGAAAAAUGCCAAGAAAUAUCAAAGCUGUAUCUUGUCUGGCUUUGUUAGCACGAUUCCCCAGCCUGCAGAGUUGAUUCUUUUUCAUGGGACAUGCAGGAACCCCUCUUUUCCCUUCUGCUUCCAGUGAGGACCAUCCAAACUUGGCACAGAGACCCCCCAACAGCUUUCAGUGAGGCCUUCAGCUGAAAGUCACCAUGGCCCUUUCAUGCUUCAAUUCCUGGUAGGAAGUUUGGUUUUCAUGCUUUACUAUGGUUUUCCUCCCAACUUUGAUCUUCACUCUUGGGAGUCUCAUUUACACUCAGCUGCAUCCUCAUCUCUGGCCUUAAUCUUUCAUAACGGAGUGCCCUACUUAUCAAAGUGUGACAGCUCUCCUAACCCCCCACCCACUCCCCAGUGGAGAUGCAGGAGCCUCUCCAACUGUUAUGAAAACAGAUAAGUUAAAUUGGCUAAGCUGCUUCUUGUCAUACUCCAAAUAUUUGGGCUCCUCUGUCAGCUUGAGGCCUAGGGCUUGAGGCCUUCAGUUCUCCAUCAAGAGUCCCCAGUUCCAGAGUGUCUGAGGGGUGUUUUUCAGAGAGUUUCCACAGAUAACUGGUUCAUUUUGGCUCAUCGUUUUGCUGGACACUGGUUUAUUCUUGAAUUGUAGAAUUACAGGAUGUCCUGAGUUGGGAGGGACCCACAGGAAUCAUCAAAUCCCACCUUGUCCAAAAGCUCUGGCAGCUCAUUCCCCAUUCUCUGGGAAUGUUCAGAGCCCCACCACCCUCUUCCAAACACCCAACAAAACCUCCCCUGAUGCCAUUCCCCCAGGUCCUGUCCCUGGUCAGAGAGAGCAGGGAUUUGAGGGCCACCUCAGAGUGACAAUUCCCAUAUUGUCACCAUGAGUCAGCAGUGCCAUCCUUUGGGAUGUGGUGAUUACUCAACCUGCCCCUCAGCCACCAGGGCAACACAAAAUCUCCUCCUGGCUCUGUGCUCCUGUGAAGAAUCCCUCUGUGGAUAAAAGGGUGGUUAGAGGUUGAUGAGCAAUGGCUUUUUUGGGGGUGGAAAAAUUAAAAAUCUGAGAGACUUGUUUGUUGUUUUAUUGGAGAGAACAGAAGGCUGAAAGUGAAACUUGAAAAUGGCAUCAAAGGGAGGAGCAGAGCUGGGAGCUCAUAGUUCUCAGUGCCCACUGGAGAUGAUGCCCACCAGACAGCUCUGGCAUUCUUCUCAAAGAGAAAAACUCUCUUGUGCCAGCUCCAUCUGACAGAGAGGGGAUCUGCUGGGCUGCAGGCUAUAAUACAUUUUGUCUGCAUUUGCUGGCCUGCUGUGGGUUGGUGACAGGUUUUUUUCCUCCUCAGCAGUCCAUUUAGAAGUGGCUCAUAUUUUGUUAUUACCUCUGAUGGUUUUGCAAAUGACCGUAUCUAGGAGUUAACUCCCAUUUAUGAUCUCCUCAGAAUGAUAAAGUGGUUCUUUUAAGAGUCCUCUUGCUUGCCAAAAACCGAUUAUUGCAAAAGUCUGAAGCCAUUUCUGAAAUAAUUUAUUGGACAACUGCACUCAGAGAAAGAAGCUCUCAUUUAAUACCAGUAUUUAAAUACAUUUUAAUGUACCCAUAACCAGAAAACCCAGAUGCCAUGGAUAUAAGCUUAGCAUUAUCUUUCUCUCCAAAAGAACCAUUUUCCCCAGUCCUCGCUAAACAUUCCGUUCAUCCCUGAGGCAGGUUUCAGGAAGGACACUUGGAGAAGUUUGCUGAGCCAAGGAGGAGGAAGCAGCACAGAAGGACAGACAGGUGCAAAGACAUCAAAGCUUCUCCUGCCAGUGUCCAGGGCUUCCCGAAGGGAGCAGGCUGGGGUCUGGAAGCUGUGCUGACCUAUCAGGGUCAAUAAUCCAGGGCUGGAGCUGGUUCACCUCCUCGGUGAGGGGUGCAGGAACAUCCAAUCCAUGGCAAUGAAAGGAAGCUUUGCCUUUUCCCAGAGACAGUUCUGACAGGGGCUGCCCGUGGGGUCACACCAUGCAGGGUGGGUUUGGGCCCAGCUGCAAAAUUCAUUUAUUACAUAGAGAUGUGUUGUGUUAUUUCGCAUUUAUAACUCAUCCUCUCUCCCUCAAACACCGAGUCAUGAACAAAGAGAAAAGCCUCGCUGAGUUAUUUCCUUUCUGUGAGUCUCACAGAUUAAGAAUUAGUUGAGUUUUUCUGUCUUUAAUUUUUUUUAUUAUUUUUGUUUUAAGUCACAUGAGUUGUGUGACUCACGAGGGCUGUAGGUGGUAUUUGUUUUGGUGUCUGGAACCCCAGCGUCAAGCUUGUCUUUGUCGGGAGAUUGAUACAACAUUGGUUUUGGCCGGGAGCAGGGGAGGAGAAAGGACAUCACUUAGCAGAUACUUAAAAUGUGGUCAGGCUCUGAAAAGCGACUCUUAGAAAUGACAUUGUGGUUUUCCAUAUUUAUUUUCUCUCAACAGCUUCCAGGAACAAUCUGCUGAGCUCACAAAUCCAAAGGUGAUUUGUUGAGCUGUCACCUCUCCGUGGAGGGGUUUGAAAUCCCCGCUCUUUUCUAGGGGCCUCUUCCAUCACCACUGUUAAUAAGGAUUCCAGGACUGGAAACUGCCUGACACGCUGCUGAUGGAUGCACAAGGCUGAGUAAACUCCAGCUUUUGCUCUGCCACUGCUUAUCAGGGAUGAGAAGGAGCCAUAAUUCAGCCUCAGCUUGAGUUAACACAGAGGUGCACAGAAGGAAGAUUAAAAAGCAGGAUGGUCUAGUGGGUUCAGACAGCUCUGAGGCCUUAAUUCAGUCCCAAAUUUAAAAUAACCGUGGUGGCUGUGCUCUACACUGCCUCACCCAACUAUGAGAAAAUCAGUGUAGAAUUAGUCAAAAUUAUUAGUAUGUCGAUAAUUUCUUUUAACAGGAUUGCUUUUUCUGACCAAAGCAGGUAGAAGGACAGCCCAAGGUUUCAAGGAGCAUUUCCCAAGGUUUCAAAGAGCUUUUCCCAAGGUUUCAAGGAGCAUUUCCCAAAUGGUUUUCAUGGUUCUCCCAAAUGGUGAAAGGCACCUCUGCUACAUGAUGGGGGAAAAGUAGAAUUGAUGUGUGGUAGCUGCAGAAAGGCUGUAGUUUAUUGAGUUAUCCAAAUCUCCUGAUUUGUGGGAAUUAGCGACUCAAAUAAAGCAGAAAUCACUUUCUUCCUUUCUCACAAUGCACAAACAGGAGAAUGCAGGAAGGAUAGAAAAGGGAAAUAGGAAAAA